CAGAUUGUGAACCUCUGAGGCCCUUCCCCUACAUACUGGGUAUAAAAUUCUAAAACUUUCUGGAUCUGGUGUUCAGAGGAAGAAUUCUUAGGUGAGAGCCUCCUCUGAACCCUGCAGUCAACAAACCUGCUUCCUGCUAGUUCCUUGGUGUCUAGCCUCAUCUGUGCUACUUCAACAUUUUUUUUCCGGCGGACACAACAUCUUCGUUUGUAUGUGGUGCUGAGGAUCGAACCCGGGCUGCACGCAUGCCAAGUGAGCACGCUACCGCUUGAGCCACAUCCACAGCCCAUAGUUUCCAAGCCUUUGGACCCAGAUUGGGGUGGCAUCAUUGAUCCUUCUUGUUCUGAGGCUCCAGCAUCAGCUCCCCAGCCUACAGACAGCCAUUGUGGGACUCUCCAGCUUCUGAUUUGUAAGCCAAUCUA